rnacentral:rRNA from 1 species
GGGAAUUUUGUGCAAUGGGCGAAAGCCUGACACAGCGACACCGCGUGAACGAAGAAGCCCUUUGGGGUGUAAAGUUCUGUCGGCUGGAACGAAAAAAAUGACGGUACCAGCAAAGGAAGCAUCGGCUAACUACGUGCCAGCAGCCGCGGUAAGACGUAGGAUGCGAGCGUUGUCCGGAUUUAUUGGGCGUAAAGAGUUCGUAGGCGGUUUGUUAAGUCUGAUGUUAAAGAUCGGGGCUCAACCCUGGGAGUGCAUUGGAUACUGGCAGACUGGAGUGUGGUAGAGGCUAGUGGAAUUCCUAGUGUAGCGGUGAAAUGCGUAGAUAUUAGGAAGAACACCAGUGGCGUAGGCGACUAGCUGGGCCAUAACUGACGCUGAGGAACGAAAGCCAGGGGAGCGAAU